GAUGAACGCUGGCGGCGUGCCUAAUACAUGCCAGUCGAGCGAACGGACGAGAAGCUUGCUUUUCUGAUGUUAGCGGCGGACGGGUGAGUAACACGUGGAUAACCUACCUAUAAGACUGGGAUAACUUCGGGAAACCGGAGCUAAUACCGGAUAAUAUUUUGAACCGCAUGGUUCAAAAGUGAAAGACGGUCUUGCUGUCACUUAUAGAUGGAUCCGCGCUGCAUUAGCUAGUUGGUAAGGUAACGGCUUACCAAGGCAACGAUGCAUAGCCGACCUGAGAGGGUGAUCGGCCACACUGGAACUGAGACACGGUCCAGACUCCUACGGGAGGCAGCAGUAGGGAAUCUUCCGCAAUGGGCGAAAGCCUGACGGAGCAACGCCGCGUGAGUGAUGAAGGUCUUCGGAUCGUAAAACUCUGUUAUUAGGGAAGAACAUAUGUGUAAGUAACUGUGCACAUCUUGACAGUACCUAAUCAGAAAGCCACGGCUAACUACGUG
rnacentral:rRNA from 1 species